UACGGGGGGGGCAAGCGUUGUUCGGGAUUACUGGGCGUAAAGGGCUCGUAGGCGGCUCGUUAAGUCAGACGUGAAAGCCCUCGGCUUAACCGGGGAACGGCGUCUGAGACUGGCAAGCUUGAAUCAGGGAGAGGGAUGCGGAAUUCCAGGUGUAGCGGUGAAAUGCGUAGAUAUCUGGAGGAACACCGGUGGCGAAGGCGGCAUCCUGGACCGGUAUUGACGCUGAGGAGCGAAAGCCAGGGGAGCAAACGGG
rnacentral:rRNA from 1 species